GGGUAACAUUGCCACCACCCAGGGUCUGGAUUGAUCUUGACUGUGCCCCGUGAGAAACACAGGCUUAGUAGUCCUUGAGGGGUACUCAACCCACUGCCAGAACUUGGGGUGCUUCCCUCAGUUUGUAAGAUAAAAU